AUGUCCUUCGCCAUGCUGCGCUCGGCGCCGCCCGGCCGCUACCUGUACCCCGAGGUGAGCCCGCUGUCGGAGGACGAGGACCGUGGCAGCGAGAGCUCGGGCUCCGACGAGAAGCCCUGCCGCGUGCACGCGGCGCGCUGCGGCCUCCAGGGCACCCGGAGGCGGGCCGGGGGCAGGCGGGCGGGGGGCGGCGCCCCGGGGCCCGGGGGGCGGCCGGGCCGCGAGCCCCGGCAGCGGCACACAGCGAACGCGCGCGAGCGGGACCGCACCAACAGCGUGAACACGGCCUUCACGGCUCUGCGCACGCUCAUCCCCACGGAGCCGGCCGACCGCAAGCUCUCCAAGAUCGAGACGCUGCGCCUGGCCUCCAGCUACAUCUCGCACCUGGGCAACGUGCUGCUGGUGGGCGAGGCCUGCGGCGACGGGCAGCCGUGCCACUCGGGGCCUGCCUUCUUCCACGCUGCGCGCCCCGGCAGCCCCCCGCCGCCGCCCCCACCACCCCCCACCCGCGACGGCGAGAACGCCCAGCCCAAACAGAUCUGUACCUUCUGCCUCAGCAACCAGAGAAAGUUGACGGCACGCGUGAGCUCCUGGGGCCUGAACAUCUGGGAAACUUAAUUUUACAGUUUCGGCUGUGCAGCACCGUGCUCUCUUCCCCAAAGUGCACGGGGACGCCGGGAGCAAGGACCGAGACAGAAAGACUACGAUUCGGAGUUAGAGGCGACGCCGCUGGGCUCUCCACAGAGAGCCCCCCCCACCCCGUGGACCCGACUCAGGCACAGGCCUCCUGUGAGGGCGCCUCAGGCUCCUCUGGGGCCAAUGGACGGACAAGCGGCGGCAGGACUCUGCACUGGCCCAGCUGGCCCAGGUCCACUGGAACCUUCCGUGCUGGCUUCCUACCUGGGUUUUCUUCUGGUCACUACGUGCUGGUAUUUUGUGUCUUUGAUAUGAUAAUAUAAAGUCUGGAAACUUUGUGUAAUUAAAAACAAAACAAUAUCGUCCAA